rnacentral:rRNA from 1 species
CACGAUGCUCGGGCGGGCGGCGGGGGGAGUGCGGAGGGUGCGAGCGUUUUGCGGAAUGAUUGGGCGGGAAGGGGUCGUAUGCGGUUCGGUACGGCGUGAGUGAAAACUCGGGGCUUAACCCCGAGCCUGCUUUCGAUACGGGCGGACUAUAGGUAGGUAGGGGAGAACGGAAUUCCUGGUGUAGCGGUGGAAUGCGCAGAUAUCAGGAGGAACACCGGUGGCGAAGGCGGUUCUCUGGGCCUUACCUGACGCUGAGGAGCGAAAGCAUGGGGAGCGAACAGGAUUAGAUACCCCAGUCGUC